UACGUAGGGGGCAAGCGUUUGUCCGGAUUUAUUGGGCGUAAAGAGCUCGUAGGCGGUUUGGUAAGUCGGAUGUGAAAUCUCCAGGCUCAACCUGGAGGGGUCAUUCGAUACUGCCAUGACUAGAGUUCGGUAGGGGAGUGUGGAAUUCUUGGUGGAGCGGUGGAAAUGCGCAGAGAUCAGGAGGAACACCCGUAGCGAAGGCGGCACUCUGGGGCCAUACUGACGUGAGGGAGCGAAAGCGUGGGGGAGCGAACAGG
rnacentral:rRNA from 1 species